CGUGCACUGGAGCGCCGCUACCAUGGUGAUUCACAAGGACCUGACUCAGGACCCAGAUCCAGAUGAAACCAACUGGACUACUCGCAUACUUAAAGUUAAGCAUGUUCUUGAGUAUUUUGCUGGACAGAGGCCCAGGAAUGCCUAGUGGCCCAACCAAGAUUGGGGCUCCACUGGGGAAAAACAGUCCCUGCACUGACAAGGAAAGCAGACAAGACAAAGUGGGGAGACAGAGGUGAAGUGAUUUGCCCAAGGUCACACAGAAGGUCAAUGACAGAUCCACCCAGUCCAAUACCUGAUCCAUGAGGCCACACUGCCUCCAACCCUGCAAUGCAAGAGGGAACAGUGGAAACCAGCUGUAGAAAAACGGACAGGGAAGAUGCUCAUAAAAAUUCCCAGAAAUCUGAAAAGUCGACAUCUGUGGGGCCUAAUCUUGCUGCUACCAAAAUAGCUGGACUACACUAGGAGCAGGAACAGGCCCUCGAUCGCUUCUAAAAUAAUCAUUUGGGAUCAGAGAGUGCAAUCGCAUAAAUAUCAGCCUUAAUUGGACUUCCUGGGCAUGACAUUUACCAACAGGACUUAACCUUUUAACAGAGCUCAUGCAAGCGAUUAUUGUUUAACAUAUUUAGUGCCAUUUAGCCAUUGCCAUCGAAUGAUGAUAAGAUUAGUCAUGACAGUUCCAACAAAAAAUAUGUUAACAUAGUGCGUUUAGAGCUCCAC